UACGUAGGAUGCAAGCGUUGUCCGGAUUUACUGGGCGUAAAGGGCGCGCAGGCGGCACUACAAGUACUGGGUGAAAUCUCCCUGCUCAACGGGGAGGGUGCUUAGUAGACUGUAGAGCUAGAGGUGGGUAGAGGGUGGUGGAAUUGCUGGUGUAGCGGUGAAAUGCGCAGAUAUCGGGAAGAACACCCGUGGCGAAGGCGGCUCUCUGGGACGGUACUGACGCUGAGACGCGAAAAGCGUGGGGAUCAAACAGG
rnacentral:rRNA from 1 species